rnacentral:rRNA from 1 species
GUGAGAAUCUACCUUCAGGUCGGGGAUAACCCCUGGAAACGGGGGCUAAUACCGGAUAGGUCGAAAGAUGAAAGGUUAACUGCCUGAAGAGGGGCUCGCGUCUGAUUAGCUAGUAGGUGUGGUAAGAGCGCACCUAGGCGACGAUCAGUAGCUGGUCUGAGAGGAUGAGCAGCCACACUGGGACUGAGACACGGCCCAGACUCCUACGGGAGGCAGCAGUGGGGAAUUUUCCGCAAUGGGCGAAAGCCUGACGGAGCAAGACCGCGUGGGGGAGGAAGGCCUUUGGGUUGUAAACCCCUUUUGUUAGGGAAGAAAAAAAUGACGGUACCUAACGAAUCAGCCUCGGCUAACUCCGUGCCAGCAGCCGCGGUAAUACGGAGGAGGCAAGCGUUAUCCGGAAUUAUUGGGCGUAAAGCGUCCGUAGGUGGCCCGGCAAGUCUGCUGUCAAAGACCACAGCUCAACUGUGGAAAGGCAGUGGAAACUGCAAGGCUAGAGUGCGGUAGGGGUAGAGGGAAUUCCCAGUGUAGCGGUGAAAUGCGUAGAGAUUGGGAAGAACACCGGUGGCGAAAGCGCUCUCCUGGGCCGCAACUGACAUUGAUGCACGAAGGCUUG